GGAGGUAUAGCUCAGUGGUGGGGUGUGUGCCUAGCACAUACAAAGUCCUAAAUUCAAUCCCCAGUACCUUCA
rnacentral:tRNA from 1 species